rnacentral:rRNA from 1 species
UACGGGGGGGGCAAGCGUUGUUCGGAAUUACUGGGCGUAAAGGGUCCGUAGGUGGCCAACUAAGUCAGACGUGAAAUCCCUCAGCUUAACUGGGGAACUGCGUCUGAGACUGGAUGGCUCGAGUGCAGGAGAGGAAUGCGGAAUUCCAGGUGUAGCGGUGAAAUGCGUAGAUAUCUGGAGGAACACCGAUGGCGAAGGCAGGUCUCUGGGCAUUAACUGACGCUGAGGAGCGAAAGCAUGGGGAGCGAACAGG